rnacentral:lncRNA from 1 species
UCAUUGGAUGCACAUAACAGGAUCCUUGUAGCGUUACUCGUUGCCGUGCGCCCAAAAAUGACUUCAGGUACUCAUUUGCAGAUAACUAAAUAUUACCAAAUUCCAGACUCUUGUCUUUGACUUAUCUACUGGAUAUUCUUUUAUGUUGAGGAAUGCUAACUAACUAAGCUAGACUAGUUCAAUUCCAAUCACUUGGGCCGAGCUUCAACGAAAAGCCCA